UAUACCCAGUAAUGGGAUUGCUAGGUGAAAUGGUAUUUCUGGUUCUAGAUCUUUGAGGAAUCAUCAGACCAUCUUCCACAAUUGUUGAACUAACUUACAUUCUCAACAACAGUGUAAAAGCAUUUCUAUUUUUCUGCAACCUCACUAGUAUCUGUUGUUUCUUGACUUAAGCCAUUAUCCUCAGCAAACUAAUGCAGGAACAGAAAACCAAACACAACAUGUUCUCACUUAUAAAUGGGAGCUGAACAAUGAGAACACGUGGACACGGGGAGGGGAACAACACACACUGGGGCCUGUUGGGGGAUGGGUUGAGUGGGGAGGGAGCAUGUACCCCAGGACUAAAAAUAAAAAUUUUUAAAAAGAGCCCAAAUAAAGAACCACACAAAUUUAAAUUAACCCAAAAUGGACCAAAGACCUGAAUGUAAAAUGUAAAACUAUAAAAUUUUUUGAAGAAAACACAGAAGAAAAAUCUGUAUGACCUAAGUUUGAUGAUAAGUUUAUAAAUGCAAAACCAAAAAUAUAAUUCAUGAAAGAAAAAACUGAUAAAUUGAAUUGUAUUAAAAUUUAAAACUUUUAAUCUGCAAAAGACACUCUUAAUAGGCUGGAAAGACAAGCUAUAAACUGGGAAACAAAAAUUGCAAAACAUAUCUGUAACAAACCUAUCCGAAAUAUAAAAAGAGCUCUCAAAACUCAACAAUAAGAAAAACAACAACCCAAUUAAAUAAUGGGCAAAAUAUUUGAACAGACACCUCACCGAGGAAGAUACACCGGUGGUGAACAAGCAUACAAAGAGAUGCUCAACAUCAUUUGUAAUUAGGAAAUCAAAAAUUAAAGCAAAAAUGAGAUGCCAUUAACUAAACACCACCUAUUAUUAUCACUAAUUUUUUUAAAAUAACAACACCAAUUGCUCACAAGAAUAUAGGGAAACAGGAACUCUUAUUCAUUUCUUGUGGGAA
rnacentral:lncRNA from 1 species